CAACCUCCACCUCCCGGGUUCAAGCAAUUCUUCUGCCUCAGCCUCCUGAGUAGCUGGGAUUACAGGCAUGCACCACCACGCCCAGAUAAUUUUUUUUUUGUAUUUUUAGUAAAGACGGGGUUUCACCAUAUUGGCCAGGCUGGAUCCAAUUGGGCCAGAGACCAGUUGCACACUGGAUUUGUCACAGUUAAAUGAAUCUAUUAAAUCUCACUUUUGCUUUAAAAAAAACCACAGAUGAUGCAUACACACACACUACAGCCAUCUUCUGCAAAAACAUGUCUCAUAGGAGCUAGGGUCAUAGCAUACAGAAAACCAGUGCAGUUAAUGGGUCUACAUACAGACUUGGAUAAGGCAAUAUGGGAGCAAUCUGUACUACCUUGGCCUUUGCUUCUUAGCAUUAAAACUAGUGCCUCCACGCUACACUACAGGGGUGUCACUGGGGCUGCUGGUAAACUUUAGA
rnacentral:lncRNA from 10 species